AUUGAACGCUGGCUGCAGGCCUAACACCUGCAAGUCGAACGAGUGGCGGACGGGUGAGUAAUGUCUGGGAAACUGCCUGAUGGCGGGGGAUAACUCCUGGAAACGGUAGCUAAUACCGCAUACCAUCGGAUGUGCCCAGAUUGGAUUAGCUAGUAGGUGGGGGAAAGGCUCACCUAGGCGACGAUCCCUAGCUGGUCUGAGAGGAUGACAAGCCACACUGGAACUGAGACACGGUCCAGACGCCUACGGGAGGCAGCAGUGGGGAAUAGUGCACAAUGGGCGCAAGCCUGAGGCAGCCAUGCCGCGUGUAUGAAGAAGGCCUUCGGGUUGUAAAGUACUUUCAGCGGGGAGGCGUUACACGCAGAAGAAGCACCGGCUAAAUCAGUGCCAGCCGCCGCGGUAAUUC
rnacentral:rRNA from 1 species